rnacentral:rRNA from 1 species
GAUGAACGCUGGCCGCGUGCUUACACAUGCAAGUCGAACGGAGUUUACCACCAUGAUUUCUUCGGAAUGAUAAUGGUAAACUUAGUGGCGGACGGGUGAGUAACGCGUGGGUAACCUGCCUCACACUGGGGGACAACAGUUGGAAACGACUGCUAAUACCGCAUAAGCGCACAGCAUCGCAUGAUGCAGUGUGAAAAACUCCGGUGGUGUGAGAUGGACCCGCGUCUGAUUAGAUAGUUGGUGAGGUAACGGCCCACCAAGUCAACGAUCAGUAGCCGGCCUGAGAGGGUGAACGGCCACAUUGGGACUGAGACACGGCCCAAACUCCUACGGGAGGCAGCAGUGGGGAAUAUUGGACAAUGGGGGAAACUGAUCCACUGCGACGCCGCGUGAGUGAAGAAGUAUUUCGGUAUGUAAAGCUCUAUCAGCAAGGAAGAAAAUGACGGUACUUGACUAAGAAGCCCCGGCUAACUACGUGCCAGCAGCCGCGGUAAUACGUAGGGGGCAAGCGUUAUCCGGAUUACUUGGGUGUAAAGGGAGCGUAGACGGCAAAGCAAGUCUGAAGUGAAAGCCCCGGGCUCAACCCGGGAACUGCUUUGGAAACUGUUUAGCUAGAGUGCAGGAGAGGUAAGUGGAAUUCCUAGUGUAGCGGUGAAAUGCGUAGAUAUUAGGAGGAACACCAGUGCGAAGGCGGCUUACUCGGACUGUAACUGACGUUGAGGCUCGA